UACGGGGGGGGCAAGCGUUGUUCGGAAUUACUGGGCGUAAAGGGUUCGUAGGUGGCUUGCUAAGUCAGACGUGAAAUCCCUCAGCUUAACUGGGGAACUGCGUCUGAUACUGGCGAGCUUGAGUACAGGAGAGGAACGCAGAAUUCCAGGUGUAGCGGUGAAAUGCGUAGAUAUCUGGAGGAAUACCGGUGGCGAAGGCGGCGUUCUGGACUGCAACUGACACUGAUGAACGAAAGCCAGGGGAGCAAACGGG
rnacentral:rRNA from 1 species